GAAAGGAUUUGUCGAAAAUGUCGCAUUUGUUAUUCUCUCACUGUGAUCCCAAUUGAUUUCUUCUUCAUCUUCUUUUAUGAACCUGGCUUUCGCAUCUUCUUAGCUCUGGGCCAUUCCUCCGGUGAUUUUGGGUUGCAAUGGUUGGGAAAAUAUUUUUGUUAGAACUUUGUACUAACCGAAUGCUUCAGGAUGGUAUAUGAUUUCUGAAACAAGGUCAUAUGGAUUUGAAAACACCAGCUGGAUUCCGUUCAGAUCUCUGUUCAACUGGAAGACUUUCUCUUCCAUCUUGAUGUUGAAAUCUCUAGCCACAAUGUUGUAUUCUUCAAUACAUUUGCUUCCAUAAAAGAGCUGAGUUGUUCUUUCCAGGGGUAAGCAUCCAAAAGGAGAGAGUCCCGACAAAGACAUCUUCCGAGCUCCGAGUCUGUAUAUAUCUGUCACGAAAUCUGCUGCUAUUCCUAUCAGGAAAUAUUGGUACUCGUUCACUGAGUACUUCCGUAACUUGCGGGGAAGAAGAUAGUAAUUCUCCAGGAAAUCGUUGGUUCCGAUACUAAUCAGCUGAAGCGAAACAGACACCAGUGGCAAAGUCUGCAAUGUUGUAUGCUGGAUCUAGGUAGGCAGGGACUGCGUUCUUGAGUCCCAAACCUUCAGAAAUGAAGUCUGGUGCAAUCCGGCCAUUUGAAAAUCUCCCAGUCGCUUUGCCGUCAAAGUAAUCCCGGCCAUAUGGCUGGAAAUUGCUCUUCAGAACAGUAGAAAUCUGGUUGUUGUUGCCUGAAUCAACAGUUGAGUCACCAAAUACGAUAAGUGCGGGAAAUUUUGCACACGUUUCAGGUAUCUUCACCAAGAGCUGAGCUGCUAGCAACAAGAACGCAAGAACUCUGUUUCGCUGCAUGCUUUUUACACAAGUUUUUUCAAUUUUUUGCUUCUGCAAAACAAGAACCUCACGAUUAAUUGGGAAGAACAAUUGGAGCAAGCAUUUAAGAUGGAGAAAGAUAGAGAGUUAGUUGAGGUGAGUAAUGAGCUGAAAAUGAUUGAGAGUUUCAAUAAUAGUUGUGCAGCAGAGAGCCGUAUUUAUAGCUACUAAAAAAGAGAGAAAGACAGAAUAUUUUAAAAUAGAAGGAUUCGUACCAUUGCAAGCUUCAGAUGUAUAUGUAACGCAUCUUCCUUUUUACCGGAUUCACGCUCAAAACUCAACUCUCUGUUCUUGUAUCACUUACUGUUUUUAUUGCUUACUGAGUCUAGAGUCUUGAAUGUAAAGAUUAUUUGCACUUUGGGUGAACUGUGUCGCACGUUUUGGGGCUUUUUAGUUCAACCAUAGUUUUGGUUGUUGCAACGACAAUAACAAGUAACGGCAAGAAAGUGUCUCUCAUGCGUCAAAUGUGACAUUUCCGAUAAAGUAACUUUGUUUUUUGAGUCUC
rnacentral:lncRNA from 1 species